rnacentral:rRNA from 1 species
GACGAACGCUGGCGGCGUGCUUAACACAUGCAAGUCGAACGGAGUGGCGAACGGGUGAGUAACGCGUAAUCAACCUGCCCUUCAGCGGGGGACAACAGUUGGAAACGACUGCUAAUACCGCAUACUGAAGGAGGGGCUUGCGUCUGAUUAGCUAGUGGGAGGGGUCACCGCCCACCAAGGCGAUGAUCAGUAGCUGGGCUGGGAGGAUGGACGGCCACAUGGGGAAUGAGAAACGGGCCAGAAUCCGAAGGGAGGCAGCAGUGGGGAAAGUUCCGAAAAGGAGGAGAGUCUGACGGAGCAACGCCGCGUGAGGGAUGACGGCCUGCGGGGUGUAAAGCUCUGUUAAUCGGGACGCGGUACCGGAAUAGAAAGCCACGGCUAACUACGUGCCAGCAGCCGCGGUAAUAC